rnacentral:tRNA from 1 species
GGGGCUGAAUGGGGUACUGGUGUCCUCCGCGGUCUUCAAAACCGUCUGUGUCCUGCGUGCCAGGAUAGCUGGGUUCGAUUCCCAGGCAGUCCCGCCA